GGCCUGGGAGACGCAGCCUUGGAGCUGUAAGGGCCCGCAGCGGCCAUCUGCUCCAGCUCCUGGCUGCGCCGAUAGAAGGCGAAGCUCGGCGAGGGAGAGGCCGGCCGAAGACGCCUAGGGCAUAGCUGCAGCUGGUCUUCGGAGUCUUGACCCCAGGCGGCGUGCCUAUGUUGCAGGCAGGAUUGGGCCCCGGGCCCUCCUCCGACUCUGUCAGAGAUCUGACCCGGGGAACGGUGCACCCAGAACUACUGCUCCGGAUUUAGGAGGAGGUGGGAAAGGAGUCCUCUCACUGCCCCACAUUCCACGGCUUUGGAGAUUCCUCGAUGGCACCCGCAUCCCUCUGUGAGCCAGGGUUGUACUAGGAAUGAUCACGGAUCAGGGAGGGGUAUCCUUUUCAUCCGCGGAGGAGAGAGGGACUCCCCGCACCCUACACCUGACUGCGGCGGGGUGUGUGCGUGUGUGUGCGUUUGUGUGUUCCUGCUCGAUGAGACUUUUCCCUCUUGUACCUUACAAACCACGCUGCCUUCUGGAGAAUGUACGUCUCAGCGGGUAACUGAUUCACAGAUCCACUGCAAGUCGUUACAGGGUCUCCUCCGCCUCAUCCAGUCCGAACGAGCGGCGAAGCCCGGGUUCAGCAGGCAGAGGCCGCGCCUCAGGGCUCUCCCCACCGCGCCCAGUGUCCGCCGCUCUCACCGCCCUUCUGGGCAGGCUCGGAACCACCAGAGCCUGCGGGACGCCCUUCGCCUCUCCCUCCACUCCAGGGACACUUGCAUAACGUGGAUCUAGAGCAACUCCUUCGCGUUGACCGCGGACGCCCCAGGGCCCGGGCAGCGACCCGCAGGUGGAAGCCAGGUGAAAACUGCCAAGGAGGGAGGUCAGCCCAGCGCGUCCUUGAGAACCCCAUGCUCCUGCUAAGCAGGACCCCAGGCGGAGGGAGCUUA